ensembl:lncRNA
UUAUUGCAUAUUAUGUGAACAUUACAAUGUAAUUAAUUUGAUACUUAACAGUUUAUACAAGUAUAACAAACAACAACGAUAAUAAUUAUCUUCAACAUCAACAACUAGUAAUAAUAGUAAUAAGUAGUAAUACUACUAAUUAUAUUAUUGCAUUAUUGCUAGUAAUUACAUUCAUAUUAAUUAUUAAUUUCAUGAAUGUAUUAUUUAAUAUUUAUGUUAUAUAAACGAAAAUAUGGCAUUAUUAACGCAUAUGUAAUUAUCAUGUAGAAAUGAAAGAAAUAAUAAAAUGGUGUAGGGACAAAAUAUACGAAUAGUGUGUACUGUAAGAAUGCACGAUGCACACGUUCAACCUUUUAUUUCACCUUUCCGGCUCUGAAGCCGAGCGCAGCCGAACGCUGGCCGAACUGUGGCGAAGGUGGCGUCAUAUGUUUCCCUCGCUCGCUCGCUCGUCUCUCGCUGUCUGUGAAGGAAGAAGGAAGAGCAAUGGCGACGCUGUAUCGCCGCGCGCUCACACUGCACACAGGAGCCACAACACACACUAUAUGCUUUUGUAUGGUCACGUCCCAACUCAUGAGGAUUUCAAACCCGUCGUUUGCGAUGCCUGCAACAAAGUCGUUAAGCCUCAGGACGUCCUGACUCAUUACGGUAGUUGGGGAAUAGUUGAACAGUGAGUAGAGAGGAGCGUGUUC